rnacentral:rRNA from 1 species
GAUGAACGCUGGCGGCGUGCCUAAUACAUGCAAGUCGAGCGAAUGGAUUAAGAGCUUGCUCUUAUGAAGUUAGCGGCGGACGGGUGAGUAACGCGUGGGUAACCUGCCCAUAAGACUGGGAUAACUCCGGGAAACCGGGGCUAAUACCGGAUAACAUUUUGAACCGCAUGGUUCGAAAUUGAAAGGCGGCUUCGGCUGUCACUUAUGGAUGGACCCGCGUCGCAUUAGCUAGUUGGUGAGGUAACGGCUCACCAAGGCAACGAUGCGUAGCCGACCUGGGAGGGUGAUCGGCCACACUGGGACGGAGACACGGCCCAGACUCCUACGGGAGGCAGCAGUAGGGAAUCUUCCGCAAUGGACGAAAGUCUGACGGAGCAACGCCGCGUGAGUGAUGAAGGCUUUCGGGUCGUAAAACUCUGUUGUUAGGGAAGAACAAGUGCUAGUUGAAUAAGCUGGCACCUUGACGGUUCCUAACCAGAAAGCCACGGCUAACUACGUGCCAGCGGCCGCCGUAA